GUUACGCUAAUACCGCAUACGAUCUAAGGAUGAAAGCAGGGGAUCUUCGGACCUUGUGCUCCUGGAGCGGCCGAUAUCUGAUUAGCUAGUUGGUGAGGUAAAGGCUCACCAAGGCGACGAUCAGUAGCUGGUCUGAGAGGACGACCAGCCACACUGGAACUGAGACACGGUCCAGACUCCUACGGGAGGCAGCAGUGGGGAAUUUUGGACAAUGGGCGAAAGCCUGAUCCAGCAAUGCCGCGUGAGUGAAGAAGGCCUUCGGGUUGUAAAGCUCUUUUGUCAGGGAAGAAACGGUGAAGGCUAAUAUCCUUCGCUAAUGACGGUACCUGAAGAAUAAGCACCGGCUAACUACGUGCCAGCAGCCGCGGUAAUACGUAGGGUGCAAGCGUUAAUCGGAAUUACUGGGCGUAAAGCGUGCGCAGGCGGUUUUGUAAGUCUGUCGUGAAAUCCCCGGGCUCAACCUGGGAAUUGCGAUGGAGACUGCAAGGCUAGAAUCUGGCAGAGGGGGGUAGAAUUCCACGUGUAGCAGUGAAAUGCGUAGAGAUGUGGAGGAACACCGAUGGCGAAGGCAGCCCCCUGGGUCAAGAUUGACGCUCAUGCACGAAAGCGUGGGGAGCAAACAGGAUUAGAUACCCUGGUAGUCCACGCCCUAAACGAUGUCUACUAGUUGUCGGGUUUUAAUUAACUUGGUAACGCAGCUAACGCGUGAAGUAGACCGCCUGGGGAGUACGGUCGCAAGAUUAAAACUCAAAGGAAUUGACGGGGACCCGCACAAGCGGUGGAUGAUGUGGAUUAAUUCGAUGCAACGCGAAAAACCUUACCUACCCUUGACAUGUACGGAAAGACCGAAAGAGAUUUGGUUGUGCUCGAAAGAGAACCGUAAC
rnacentral:rRNA from 1 species